rnacentral:rRNA from 1 species
GGGAUAUUGCACAAUGGGGGGAACCCUGAUGCAGCGACGCCGCGUGGGUGAAGAAGCGCCUCGGCGCGUAAAGCCCUGUCAGCAGGGAAGAAAAUGACGGUACCUGAGUAAGAAGCCCCGGCUAACUACGUGCCAGCAGCCGCGGUAAUACGUAGGGGGCAAGCGUUAUCCGGAAUUACUGGGUGUAAAGGGAGCGUAGACGGUGAAGUAAGUCUGGAGUGAAAGGCGGGGGCCCAACCCCCGGACUGCUCUGGAAACUAUUUGACUGGAGUGCAGGAGAGGUAAGCGGAAUUCCUAGUGUAGCGGUGAAAUGCGUAGAUAUUAGGAGGAACACCAGUGGCGAAGGCGGCUUACUGGACUGUAACUGACGUUGAGGCUCGAAAGCGUGGGGAGCAAACA